rnacentral:rRNA from 1 species
UACAGAGGUGGCAAGCGUUGUUCGGAAUUACUGGGCGUAAAGGGCGCGUAGGCGGCCAUCUAAGUCAGACGUGAAAUCCCCGGGCUCAACCCGGGAACUGCGUCCGAGACUGGCAGGCUCGAAUCCGGGAGAGGGGUGUGGAAUUCCAGGUGUAGCGGUGAAAUGCGUAGAUAUCUGGAGGAACACCGGUGGCGAAGGCGGCAUCCUGGACCGGUAUUGACGCUGAGGCGCGAAAGCCAGGGGAGCAAACGGG